GUACUAAACCCAGCUGACAGAGAGAUAGAGAGAGAUGUGAUACUGUACUGAACCCAGCUGACAGAGAGAAAGAGAGAGAGAUGUGAUACUGUACUGAACCCAGCUGACAGAGAGAUAGAGAGAGAUGUGAUACUGUACUGAACCCAUCUGACAGAGAGAUAGAGAGAGAUGUGAUACUGUACUAAACCCAGCUGACAGAGAGAUAGAGAGAUAUGUGAUACUGUACUAAACCCAGCUGACAGAGAGAUAGAGAGAGAUGUGAUACUGUACUAAACCCAGCUGACAGAGAGAUAGAGAGAGAUGUGAUACUGUACUGAACCCAGCUGACAGAGAGCUAGAGAGAGAUGUGAUACUGUACUAAACCCAGCUGACAGAGAGAUAGAGAGAGAUGUGAUACUGUACUAAACCCAGCUGACAGAGAGAUAGAGAGAGAUGUGAUACUGUACUGAACCCAGCUGACAGAGAGAUAGAGAGAGAGAUGUGAUACUGUACUGAACCCAGCUGACAGAGAGAUAGAGAUGUGAUACUGUACUGAACCCAGCUGACAGAGAGAUAGAGAGAGAUGUGAUACUGUACUAAACCCAGCAGACAGAGAGAUAGAGAGAGAUGUGAUACUGUACUGAACCCAGCAGACAGAGAGAAAGAGAGAGAUGUGAUAGUGUACUGAAAACAGCUGACAGGAAGUGGUCAUAGCCACUGACUCGUCUUGCUGUACUGAACAACUGCAGAUAAGACAAGAUACUACACACACACAUACACACACACUCUUGUAGCACACAAAACACACAGAUUAUAGAGCACAUAGAGUACCACACGGUGCAGAACAAAGCACACCCAGACCUUACAGAGCUCUCAUAACAGAGAGAUAGACUGAAGAACAGCGUGACCUUACAAAGCUCUCAUAACAGAUAGAUAGACUGAAGAACAGCGUGACCUUACAGAGCUCUCAUAACAGAGAUAGACUGAAGAACAGCCUGAACUUACAGAGCUCUCAUAACAGAGAGAUAGACUGAAGAACAGCGUGACCUUACAGAGCUCUC
rnacentral:lncRNA from 1 species